AUUGAACGCUGGCGGCAUGCUUUACACAUGCAAGUCGAACGGUAACAGGCCGCAAGGUGCUGACGAGUGGCGAACGGGUGCGUAAUGCAUCGGAACGUGCCCAGUCGUGGGGGAUAACUACUCGAAAGAGUAGCUAAUACCGCAUACGAUCUAUGGAUGAAAGCGGGGGACCGUAAGGCCUCGCGCGAUUGGAGCGGCCGAUGUCAGAUUAGGUAGUUGGUGGGGUAAAGGCUCACCAAGCCAACGAUCUGUAGCUGGUCUGAGAGGACGACCAGCCACACUGGGACUGAGACACGGCCCAGACUCCUACGGGAGGCAGCAGUGGGGAAUUUUGGACAAUGGGCGCAAGCCUGAUCCAGCAAUGCCACGUGCAGGAAGAAGGCCUUCGGGUUGUAAACUGCUUUUGUACGGAACGAAACGGCUCUGGUUAAUACCCGGGGCUAAUGACGGUACCGUAAGAAUAAGCACCGGCUAACUACGUG
rnacentral:rRNA from 1 species